UACACUGAAAACAAGAGAAGUUCACCUGCUUCCCAUAAUGAAGAAUCAGAUGCAUCAUCUUUUUCUGUGCAAAAAGAAGCUGAACACAUUUAUGCAGCCUCACCGUGUACCAAAAUCUGUUCUACUGGUAAAUGGCUUGUGGGACUGAACCCGAUGAAAAACCAAAGGCUGCAGUUGGUGAACACAACUAUUGUUUGGAUUUGCCACCAAAACAAAAGCUACCAUCUACAUUUUCAACUCAUGAGUCAUUUGCUGAAGUUGGUGAAACAGCCACAGCAGACAUAUUUACAUGGACUAAUGCAAGCAGUUGCAUCUGAGGACUUGGAGCAAGUUGUGACCUUACUUUUGUCCCACCCCAGUUCAAGAAAUAAAAUAAACGAGAGAGUGAUACAGCAGCUACAGUCAGACUGUCAAGAGCUAUCAUCAUUAUCAUCUCCAUCGCUUCUCAGGGAGCAAUCAAGUCUGCAGAAUCUUACAGAUAGCCAUGACUUUAUAGGUCAGGUAUUUCAGGAGAUGAAAGAAAGGUAAUCUAA